rnacentral:rRNA from 1 species
UACGUAGGCAGCGAGCGUUGUUCGGAAUUACUGGGCGUAAAGAGUGUGUAGGCGGUGCUCUAAGUUCGGUGUGAAAUCUCCCGGCUUAACUGGGAGGGUGCGCCGGAAACUGGAGUGCUCGAGCGUGGGAGAGGAAAGCGGAAUUCCUGGUGUAGCGGUGAAAUGCGUAGAUAUCAGGAGGAACACCUGCGGUGUAGACGGCUUUCUGGACCAUUGCUGACGCUGAGACACGAAAGCGUGGGUAGCGAACAGG